rnacentral:rRNA from 1 species
GGUGGCAAGGCGUUGUCCGGAUUUACUGGGCGUAAAGAGUAUGUAGGCGGAUAUUUAAGUCAGAUGUGGAAUUCCCGGGCUUAACCUGGGAGCUGCAUUUUGAUACUGGAUAUCUAGAGUGCGGGAGAGGAAAGUGGAAUUCCUAGUGUAGCGGUGAAAUGCGUAGAGAUUAGGAAGAACACCAGUGGCGAAGGCGACUUUCUGGACCGUAACUGACGCUGAGAUACGAAAGCGUGGGGAGC